GGGCCCAUGGCGCACGGGAUAACGCGCCUGACUGGAUCAGGAGAUUCCGGGGUUCAAUCCUGGCGGGCCUU